ACAGAGGUCUCAAGCGUUGUUCGGAUUCAUUGGGCGUAAAGGGUGCGUAGGUGGCGCUGUAAGUCGGGUGUGAAAUUUCGGAGCUCAACUCCGAAACUGCAUUCGAUACUGCGGUGCUUGAGGACUGGAGAGGAGACUGGAAUUCAUGGUGUAGCAGUGAAAUGCGUAGAGAUCAUGAGGAAGACCAGUGGCGAAGGCGGGUCUCUGGACAGUUCCUGACACUGAGGCACGAAGGCCAGGGGAGCAAACGGG
rnacentral:rRNA from 1 species